rnacentral:rRNA from 1 species
GAUGAACGCUAGCGGCAGGCCUAACACAUGCAAGUCGAGGGAUAAGCCUUCGGGCUGAAGCCGGCGCACGGGUGCGUAACGCGUAUACAAUCUGCCUUUCACAUAGGGAUAGCGCGGAGAAAUUUGGAUUAAUACCUAAUGGUAUAUAAGAGGGGCAUCAUUUUUAUAUUAAAGCUUUGGUGGUGAAAGAUGAGUAUGCGUUCUAUUAGCUAGUUGGAGAGGUAACGGCUCCCCAAGGCGACGAUAGAUAGGGGUUCUGAGAGGGACGUCCCCCACACGGGUACUGAGAUACGGACCAGGCUCCUACGGGAGGAAGCAGUGAGGAAGAUUGGACGAUGGUCGGAAGACUGAUCCAGCCAUGCCGCGUGCAGGACGACGGUCCUAUGGAUUGUAACCUGCUUUUGUAAGGGAAGAAUAAGCAGUACGUGUACUUUGAUGACGGUACCUUACAAAUAAGCAUCGGCUAACUACGUG